GACCGCGCAGCUCAGUUGGAAGAGCAUUGGGCUAGUAUUCCAAAGGUCGUAGGUUCGAAUCCCACCGUGGUCG
rnacentral:tRNA from 1 species